rnacentral:rRNA from 1 species
UACAGAGGAGCCAAGCGUUGUCCGGAUUGACUGGGCGUAAAGCGUGCGCAGGCGGCUUUGCAAGACAGAUGUGAAAUCCCCGGGCUUAACCUGGGAACUGCAUUUGUGACUGCAUGGCUGGAGUGCGGCAGAGGGGGAUGGAAUUCCGCGUGUAGCAGUGAAAUGCGUAGAUAUGCGGAGGAACACCGAUGGCGAAGGCAGUCCCCUGGGCCUGCACUGACGCUCAUGCACGAAAGCGUGGGGAGCAAACAGG